GUGCCAGCCGCCGCGGUAAUACGGAGGGUGCAAGCGUUAUUCGGAAUCACUGGGCGUAAAGGGUGCGUAGGCGGUUUGAUAAGUCUGAUGUGAAAUCCUAUGGCUCAACCAUAGAACUGCAUUGGAAACUGUCAGACUAGAAUACUGAAGGGGCAGAUGGAAUUAGUGGUGUAGGGGUAAAAUCCGUAGAUAUCACUAGGAAUACCGAAAGCGAAAGCGAUCUGCUGGGAAGUUAUUGACGCUGAGGCACGAAAGCGUGGGGAGCAAACGGGAUUAGAUACCCCGGUAGUCCACGCCCUAAACGAUGAAUGCUAGUCGUCGGAAAGCUCGUCUUUUCGGUGAUGCAGUUAACACAUUAAGCAUUCCGCUGGGGAGUACGGUCGCAAGAUUAAAACUCAAAGGAAUAGACGGGGACCCGCACAAGUGGUGGAGCAUGUGGUUUAAUUCGAAGAUACGCGAAGAACCUUACCAAGCCUUGACAUUGAUUGAAUUCACCAGAGAUGGAGAAGUGCCUUUCGAGGAACAUGAAAACAGGUGCUGCACGGCUGUCGUCAGCUCGUGUCGUGAGAUGUUGGGUUAAGUCCCGCAACGAGCGCAACCCUCGUCGUUAGUUGCUAACAGUUCGGCUGAGCACUCUAGCGAGACUGCCUUCGCAAGGAGGAGGAAGGUGAGGACGACGUCAAGUCAUCAUGGCCCUUAUGGCUUGGGCUACACACGUGCUACAAUGGGGCGUACAGAGAGUUGCGAUACCGCGAGGUGGAGCUAAUCUCAUAAAGCGUCUCUCAGUUCGGAUUGGACUCUGCAACUCGAGUCCAUGAAGCUGGAAUCACUAGUAAUCGUAGAUCAGCAAUGCUACGGUGAAUACGUUCCCGGGUCUUGUACUCACCGCCCGUCACACCAUGGGAGUUGAUUUCACCCGAAAUCGGGAAGCAAACCUUCGGGAUGCUACCGCUUACGGUGGAAUUAGCGACUGGGGUGAAGUCGUAACAAGGUAACC
rnacentral:rRNA from 1 species